GGGAAACUUACCAGGUCCAGACAUUGUGAGGAUUGACAGAUUGAGAGCUCUUUCUUGAUUCGAUGGGUGGUGGUGCAUGGCCGUUCUUAGUUGGUGGAGUGAUUUGUCUGGUUAAUUCCGUUAACGAACGAGACCUUAGCCUAUUAAAUAGUGUCGCGAACACCUUGUUGGCGGUUCACUUCUUAGAGGGACAACUUGUCUUCAACAAGUGGAAGUUUGAGGCAAUAA
rnacentral:rRNA from 1 species